GAUGAACGCUGGCGGCGUGCUUAACACAUGCAAGUCGAACGGUGAAGCAGAGCUUGCUCUGUGGAUCAGUGGCGAACGGGUGAGUAACACGUGAGCAACCUGCCCCUGACUCUGGGAUAAGCGCUGGAAACGGCGUCUAAUACUGGAUAUGAGCUGCGACCGCAUGGUCAGCAGUUGGAAAGAUUUUUCGGUCUGGGAUGGGCUCACGGCCUAUCGGCUUGUUGGUGAGGUAAUGGCUCACCAAGGCGUCGACGGGUAGCCGGCCUGAGAGGGUGACCGGCCACACUGGGACUGAGACACGGCCCAGACUCCUACGGGAGGCAGCAGUGGGGAAUAUUGCACAAUGGGCGAAAGCCUGAUGCAGCAACGCCGCGUGAGGGAUGACGGCCUUCGGGUUGUAAACCUCUUUUAGCAGGGAAGAAGCGAAAGUGAAGGUACCUGCAGAAAAAGCGCCGGCUAACUACGUG
rnacentral:rRNA from 1 species